rnacentral:rRNA from 1 species
CCUACGGGUGGCAGCAGUGAGGAAUAUUGGUCAAUGGCCGGAAGGCUGAACCAGCCAAGCCGCGUGAAGGACGAAGGUGCCAAGCAUUGUAAACUUCUUUUGUCAAGGGACAAAAUCAGGCUCGAGAGCCUGACCGAGGGUACUUGAAGAAAAAGCAUCGGCUAACUCCGUGACAGCAGCCGCGGUAAUACGGGGGAUGCGAGCGUUAUCCGGAUUUAUUGGGUUUAAAGGGUGCGAAGGCGGGCUGUUAAGUCAGCGGUAAAAGCCCGGGGCUCAACCCCGGCGAGCCGUUGAAACUGGCGGUCUUGAGAUGUCGAGAGGUAUGCGGAAUGCGCAGUGUAGCGGUGAAAUGCUUAGAUAUUGCGCAGAACUCCGAUGGCGAAGGCAGCAUACCGGCGGCGAUCUGACGCUGAGGCACGAAAGCGUGGGUAUCGAACAGGAUUAGAUACCCGGGUAGUC